rnacentral:rRNA from 1 species
CGGCGAUGUCCGAAUGGGGAAACCCAGUGCAAUUCGUUGCACUAUCGUUAACUGAAUACAUAGGUUAACGAGGCGAACCGGGGGAACUGAAACAUCUAAGUACCCCGAGGAAAAGAAAUCAACCGAGAUUCCCCCAGUAGCGGCGAGCGAACGGGGAGCAGCCCAGAGUCUGAAUCAGCUUGUGUGUUAGUGGAACGGUCUGGAAAGUCCGACGGUACAGGGUGAUAGUCCCGUACACCAAAAUGCACAGGCUGUGAACUCGAAGAGUAGGGCGGGACACGUGGUAUCCUGUCUGAAUAUGGGGGGACCAUCCUCCAAGGCUAAAUACUCCUGACUGACCGAUAGUGAACCAGUACCGUGAGGGAAAGGCGAAAAGAACCCCGGCGAGGGGAGUGAAAAAGAACCUGAAACCGUGUACGUACAAGCAGUGGGAGCACCUUCGGGUGUGACUGCGUACCUUUUGUAUAAUGGGUCAGCGACUUAUAUUCUGUAGCAAGGUUAACCGUAUAGGGGAGCCGCAGGGAAACCGAGUCUUAACUGGGCGUUAAGUUGCAGGGUAUAGACCCGAAACCCGGUGAUCUAGCCAUGGGCAGGUUGAAGGUUGGGUAACACUAACUGGAGGACCGAACCGACUAAUGUUGAAAAAUUAGCGGAUGACUUGUGGCUGGGGGUGAAAGGCCAAUCAAACCGGGAGAUAGCUGGUUCUCCCCGAAAGCUAUUUAGGUAGCGCCUCGUGAAUUCAUCUUCGGGGGUAGAGCACUGUUUCGGCUAGGGGGUCAUCCCGACUUACCAACCCGAUGCAAACUACGAAUACCGAAGAAUGUUAUCACGGGAGACACACGGCGGGUGCUAACGUCCGUCGUGAAGAGGGAAACAACCCAGACCGCCAGCUAAGGUCCCAAAGUCAUGGUUAAGUGGGAAACGAUGUGGGAAGGCACAGACAGCCAGGAUGUUGGCUUAGAAGCAGCCAUCAUUUAAAGAAAGCGUAAUAGCUCACUGGUCGAGUCGGCCUGCGCGGAAGAUGUAACGGGGCUAAACCAUGCACCGAAGCUGCGGCAGCGACACUAUGUGUUGUUGGGUAGGGGAGCGUUCUGUAAGCCUGCGAAGGUGACCUGUGAGGGUUGCUGGAGGUAUCAGAAGUGCGAAUGCUGACAUAAGUAACGAUAAAGCGGGUGAAAAGCCCGCUCGCCGGAAGACCAAGGGUUCCUGUCCAACGUUAAUCGGGGCAGGGUGAGUCGACCCCUAAGGCGAGGCCGAAAGGCGUAGUCGAUGGGAAACAGGUUAAUAUUCCUGUACUUGGUGUUACUGCGAAGGGGGGACGGAGAAGGCUAUGUUAGCCGGGCGACGGUUGUCCCGGUUUAAGCAUGUAGGCUGGUUAUCCAGGCAAAUCCGGAUAAUCAAGGCUGAGGUGUGAUGACGAGGCACUACGGUGCUGAAGUAACAAAUGCCCUGCUUCCAGGAAAAGCCUCUAAGCAUCAGGUAACAUUAAAUCGUACCCCAAACCGACACAGGUGGUCAGGUAGAGAAUACCAAGGCGCUUGAGAGAACUCGGGUGAAGGAACUAGGCAAAAUGGUGCCGUAACUUCGGGAGAAGGCACGCUGGUGUGUAGGUGAAGUCCCUGCGGAUGGAGCUGAGACCAGUCGAAGAUACCAGCUGGCUGCAACUGUUUAUUAAAAACACAGCACUGUGCAAACACGAAAGUGGACGUAUACGGUGUGACGCCUGCCCGGUGCCGGAAGGUUAAUUGAUGGGGUUAUCCGUAAGGAGAAGCUCUUGAUCGAAGCCCCGGUAAACGGCGGCCGUAACUAUAACGGUCCUAAGGUAGCGAAAUUCCUUGUCGGGUAAGUUCCGACCUGCACGAAUGGCGUAAUGAUGGCCAGGCUGUCUCCACCCGAGACUCAGUGAAAUUGAACUCGCUGUGAAGAUGCAGUGUACCCGCGGCAAGACGGAAAGACCCCGUGAACCUUUACUAUAGCUUGACACUGAACAUUGAGCCUUGAUGUGUAGGAUAGGUGGGAGGCUUUGAAGCGUGGACGCCAGUCUGCGUGGAGCCGACCUUGAAAUACCACCCUUUAAUGUUUGAUGUUCUAACGUUGGCCCCUGACCGGGGUUGCGGACAGUGUCUGGUGGGUAGUUUGACUGGGGCGGUCUCCUCCCAAAGCGUAACGGAGGAGCACGAAGGUUAGCUAAUCCUGGUCGGACAUCAGGAGGUUAGUGCAAUGGCAUAAGCUAGCUUGACUGCGAGCGUGACGGCGCGAGCAGGUGCGAAAGCAGGUCAUAGUGAUCCGGUGGUUCUGAAUGGAAGGGCCAUCGCUCAACGGAUAAAAGGUACUCCGGGGAUAACAGGCUGAUACCGCCCAAGAGUUCAUAUCGACGGCGGUGUUUGGCACCUCGAUGUCGGCUCAUCACAUCCUGGGGCUGAAGUAGGUCCCAAGGGUAUGGCUGUUCGCCAUUUAAAGUGGUACGCGAGCUGGGUUUAGAACGUCGUGAGACAGUUCGGUCCCUAUCUGCCGUGGGCGCUGGAGAAUUGAGGGGGGCUGCUCCUAGUACGAGAGGACCGGAGUGGACGCAUCACUGGUGUUCGGGUUGUCAUGCCAAUGGCACUGCCCGGUAGCUAAAUGCGGAAGAGAUAAGUGCUGAAAGCAUCUAAGCACGAAACUUGCCCCGAGAUGAGUUCU